UUUUUUUUGGUGUGCAAAGUGCUGCAUGCAAUAUACUGUAGGAGGCAGUUUGUAUCUAAUAUCAAAUUAAAAAAACACUGUACUGUCUUAAAGUGUCACUAUAAGCUUCAUAUCCACUACAACUCAUUAGGUUUAUGGUGCUCAGACUCAUGUGCCUCUCCAAAGUUCUUAUCAACUGGUUUUCGUGUGGCCCCUUAUCUGGGCACAGUUAAUGCAUAAAAGAACUUUCACAUAAGCCCAUCCAUAUUUGGAUAGCAGUAAUGGGCUACAAGAGCAGAUGGCGGUUAGCCCAGUACUCUCCCCGCUUAUCGUUGUCAGCCAAAUUUACUGAAAGAAGGACUGGGCUUUAUUCUCCUAAAUACUGAAUUAACGUUAAUCAAAGGGGAAGGUCCUGUGGACAUUUUGUACCAUGAGCUGUAGUGGUUUUGGUACUGAGAGUGUCCUUUUAAUUUCCGGGAAAGGUAUACACAGAUAGAUGCAUCUUUUACGCAGACCACAUAACGCAAAACUUAAAACAAUGUAGGGAAUUUGUCAAAGUGUUGUCAACACUUUUACCUCUUUAUAAUCAGCAAAUUAUUGGUGCAAUUUAUUAAAGGAAUACUUUAAGCACCAUAACCACUCCACAUAACACUGUAGUGGUUAUGGGGCCAAGAAUGUCACUGCAAACAGUUUAACAAGUUACCUGGAGUCUAGGUGCCAGUCACCUCUACUGGUGAAGCCAGAAGCUCCUGCAAGAAGCUUCUGUUAGCUUAACUGAGUUAAUCCCUGCUGUGCAUGGUUGGCUCAGAGGUGAACAGCACCGAUCCUAUCCUAAUCCUAGCUCAGUGCUGUAGCCUCUGAAGGAGGAGGCAAACAGUGCAUUCAGGUCAGUUGUCAAAAUGAUUAAAAUGGUUUGACUACUACACCUGAGAGGGUGCCAGGGCACUCAGGAGACUCUAGUGGUUAUGAGGCCUGGAAUAUUCCUUUAAAUAUGCUGGAUUUUUUUUUUGCAUUUGCAUGCGUUGUCUUUUUUUAUACCAAGGCCAUUUUUUAAUGUAAAUUUAGUUUUUUUUACAUUUGGCAUUUUUUUUCGGUAAUGCAUUAGAUUUAUCAGAUUUUCGGCGGACUGACUUUCUUUUUUUAGUUUUAAAACACUUUAAUAAAUACAAAUCAAAAUAAUAAUAACAUUUAGCCAUCACUUUCAGAACCCUCUGAUAAAUAUUCCCCCAAGUUUUGCGACCUGUACAAAUGAUCUUGAGUCGAAAGUAAACAGAUUUAAACAGAUCUCUCAAUCAUAUAUAGAGGUGCAGUCAGAGGCCAUAUUUCAGAAGCAUUAUCUUAAUGCAAAGCAAAUUGUAGCAAAUGUACAACUAUGUACCGUUUAAUAAAUCAACCUCUGGGUAAUCAAAUUUGCAUAGGAGAUAUGCGUUUUAUAGAGUAAAACAUUGUGGGUAUAUAAACCAUACUUCUCAUGACUAGUAAUUUUUGUUACCAGAGUGAUGACCCUCAGUGAUAACUAGGGGCAGGAGUGCAGAACUAAAAUUGGAAAAAUAACUUUAUGAUAAUGCACAGCAACAUUCCACCCUUGCUGACUGAACUGCUAUUUUACAGCUGAAUCAUAAUCAGUGCAGCAAUGACUGGAAAUUUAAUGCAACAUUAUAAUACUUUUCAGGAAAAU